UUACAAAACAAACCAUUCUGUCAAAAAACUGCAUAGCUUGCCCUUCACCUUUUGAGAUUCAGGAUUAGUCUGCGUGUGACAUAAACACAUUAUUGUGUACAUUCAGUGUGUGGGCUGCUCACAUUCCCAACAGCUCUGCUUACGACAAAGGAGUUUGAACUGAGACGGUGAGGGAGACCCCAGGCCACGCCCCCUGCACACUGCCGUGGCCCACCAGCCGCAGGCCGGGACCGCGGGAGGACAUGGGGGUGGGGGGUCCCGAUGGGACAGCAGCUGCCCAUGGCCCACCAGACGCAGGCCGGGAUGCCGGAGGAUGUGGGGGCGUCCCAACGGGUCAGCGGCUGCCUGUGGCCCACCAGCCUCAGGCCGGGACCGCCAGAGGACAUGGGGGUGGGGGGUCCCGACGGGACAGCAGCUGCCCGUGGCCCACCAGCCUCAGGCCGGGACCGCCGGCGGAUGUGGUGGUGGGGGUCCCGACGGGACAGCGGCUGCCCGUGGCCCACCAGACUCAGGCCGGGACCGCUGGAGGACGUGGGGGCAUCCUGAUGGGAUAGCGGCUGCCCGUGGCCCACCAGACUCAGGCCGGGACCGCCGGCGGAUGUGGGGGUUCCCAACGGGUCAGCGGCUGCCCGUGGCCCACCAGCCUCAGGCUGGGACUGCCGGAGGACGUGGGGGCAUCCCGAUGGGACAGCAGCUGCCCGUGGCACUGCUGGGCCCGCAGACGGAGGCACGGUGCCCCCCCAAGGGAAUUUCCCCAGGAAGGUUACUCAGUUACAAACCUCUUCUGUCCUCAAAUGCUGAGCAUGAUGAAGAACUCUGCCCUUUGAAAGACUGUCUAAUGUUUAAGCCUCAGGAUAAUUUUUAUUUCAAGUAUCUCAUUUCUCAGCUAUGAGUUCAAUCUGCCUUUUAACUUAUUCAAAGGCUUUGAUCUCGUAGUGAUAUGGAACUUGAGUUUUUCUCUAGCUAUUAUGAGGGGAUGGAGUAGCGCCUCUAAGAUUUUCAGUGUGCCUUUUCCCCCAUUUGGUCUUCAUCUUUUUGUGUCUUUAUAAUUCAAACCUCAUAUCUGUGAGAGCUGCGUGAAGAGGAGAGGUCAGUGUCUUCUCCUGGGGCAUAAAACACACGCGGGAGAGCUCUCAGUGACUGUGCAGACACACGGCCACAGGAACACACUAGCUAGUUCUACCGAGUGGCACUAACUCGCCAAAGAUGAACAAAGGCAUGAUGCGUCGAGGAUUAGCUGUUAGAAGAUAAGGGACCCUCGGUCACUCUGUUGGCGGAGGGCCUGUGGGAAUAAGGAUUUGUUCAAGUGUAGCCCUUGCUUACAUUUCUAGGUGUUUUAGGAAGUUAAGCUUAAAUUCUGAAAUCUUAAUAUUUGGAAGCUCUUCAUUAACAUUUAACUCAACUGCUGAGAAGUAGUUGGAAAGCCUAAGAAUAUUCUUGCAAAACAUGAUUAAUAAAAAACAAGCCAAUUGCUUCUGAGUGCUGGAGGAGGAGGAGGAUGGCAGCCAGGCGCACAAAUCUUGCCCUGAAAAUGGAAAGUCUGUUUUCUUAUGUACAAAUAGUACUGCCACCUGCUAGUCAGAUAAGCAGGGGGGGACCUGCCGCCGAGCAGGAGCCACAUCGGGCGUUUCACACAGGAACCAGCCCUGACGUGUUACCGACCAUCCACUUCCGUGAGCUGGUAGGGG